rnacentral:ncRNA from 1 species
GUUAAGGGUUUCUUUUAUGGAUAUAAAAUUUGAUUAUGGUUUAUAAAUUGUUAAAAUAAUAUUAUUUAAUUUUAAUUUAUAAUGUGGGCAAUAUUAUUUUACCACGGUAAUUAAUUGUUUGUAUAAUGCUUGUUCCAGAAUAAUCGGCUAGGCUAGUUAAACUUAAACUUUAUUUUGUUUUAAUUAUAAAUAUUAAAAGCUAAUUUUAACAAUUUUAGGUUAAAUUGUAAUUGUUUGUUUAGGAUAUUUAUAGUUUUAAGUUUUGGGAAGCGAAUUAGAUUAGUACCUAAUUAGUCAAAAUUUAAAAGUGCAGAAGUAAAGUUGUAUUUAAACUGAAAGAAUAUUGGCAGAUUUUCUAAAUUAUCUUUGGAGGUUGAGUAAUAAUUGAGAACCCUCAUUAACUACUUUUAAUUUGGUCUCGUGUAUGAUCGUUUAUUUUUACAUGCUUAAGGUUUGUAAUGAAAAAUAUUUAUUUUUAAAAAUAGAUAUAUAUGCGGUUUAUUUAAAAGUUUGAAUUUGACCUACAAUAAGUUAUUUUGUGGAUUCGUAAUUUAGUGAUUGCGAUAAAAAUGUAAAAGACAGUAAAAAAAAAUUUUUAUGGUUUUUUGAAGAUUAUUUAGAUGUGGUACAAAUCAUCCAUCAAUUGCCCAAAGGGGAGUAAGUUGUAGUAAAGUAGAUUUAGGGGAACCUUAAUCUAGUA